UACGGAGGGUGCAAGCGUUAUCCGGAUUUACUGGGUUUAAAGGGUGCGUAGGCGGGUAGGUAAGUCAGUGGUGAAAUCUCCGAGCUUAACUCGGAAACUGCCUUUGAUACUAUUUAUCUUGAAUAUUGUGGAGGUAAGCGGAAUAUGUCAUGUAGCGGUGAAAUGCUUAGAUAUGACAUAGAACACCCAUUGCGAAGGCAGCUUACUACGCAUAUAUUGACGCUGAGGCACGAAAGCGUGGGGAUCAAACAGG
rnacentral:rRNA from 1 species